rnacentral:rRNA from 1 species
UACGUAGGGUGCAGGCGUUAAUCGGAAUUACUGGGCGUAAAGCGUGCGCAGGCGGUCUUUUAAGUCAGAUGUGAAAUCCCCGGGCUUAACCUGGGAACUGCGUUUGAAACUGGAAGGCUUGAGUGUGGCAGAGGGGGGUGGAAUUCCCGGUGUAGCGGUGAAAUGCGUAGAGAUCGGGAGGAACAUCAGUGGCGAAGGCGGCCAUCUGGGACAACACUGACGCUGAAGCACGAAAGCGUGGGGAGCAAACAGG